AGAGUUUGAUCCUGGCUCAGGAUGAACGCUAGCUACAGGCUUAACACAUGCAAGUCGAGGGGCAGCAUGGUUUCAGCUUGCUGAGACUGAUGGCGACCGGCGCACGGGUGAGUAACGCGUAUCCAACCUGCCCUUUACUCCGGGAUAGUCUCCUGAAAGGGAGUUUAAUACCGGAUGUGUUUGUCUUUCCGCAUGGGAGCGACAAAUAAAGAUUAAUUGGUAAAGGAUGGGGAUGCGUCCCAUUAGCUAGUUGGCGGGGUAACGGCCCACCAAGGCGACGAUGGGUAGGGGUUCUGAGAGGAAGGUCCCCCACAUUGGAACUGAGACACGGUCCAAACUCCUACGGGAGGCAGCAGUGAGGAAUAUUGGUCAAUGGGCGGGAGCCUGAACCAGCCAAGUAGCGUGAAGGACGACGGCCCUACGGGUUGUAAACUUCUUUUAUAAGGGAAUAAAGUGCGUUACGUGUAAUGUUUUGUAUGUACCUUAUGAAUAAGCAUCGGCUAAUUCCGUGCCAGCAGCCGCGGUAAUACGGAAGAUGCGAGCGUUAUCCGGAUUUAUUGGGUUUAAAGGGAGCGUAGGCGGGCUUUUAAGUCAGCGGUCAAAUGUCACGGCUCAACCGUGGCCAGCCGUUGAAACUGCAAGCCUUGAGUCUGCACAGGGCACAUGGAAUUCGUGGUGUAGCGGUGAAAUGCUUAGAUAUCACGAAGAACUCCGAUCGCGAAGGCAUUGUGCCGGGGCAUAACUGACGCUGAGGCUCGAAAGUGCGGGUAUCAAACAGGAUUAGAUACCCUGGUAGUCCGCACGGUAAACGAUGAAUGCUCGCUAUGGGCGAUAUAUUGUCCGUGGCCAAGCGAAAGCGUUAAGCAUUCCACCUGGGGAGUACGCCGGCAACGGUGAAACUCAAAGGAAUUGACGGGGGC
rnacentral:rRNA from 1 species